CCGGCACGGGUGAGUAACACGUAUCCAACCUGCCGUCUACUCUUGGACAGCCUUCUGAAAGGAAGAUUAAUACAGGAUGGCAUCAUGAGUCCGCAUGUUCACAUGAUUAAAGGUGUUCCGGUAGACGAUGGGGAUGCGUUCCAUUAGAUAGUAGGCGGGGUAACGGCCCACCUAGUCAACGAUGGAUAGGGGUUCUGAGAGGAAGGUCCCCCACAUUGGAACUGAGACACGGUCCAA
rnacentral:rRNA from 1 species